rnacentral:sRNA from 1 species
UGUGAAACUGGUACAUCAUCCUUCAACAC